rnacentral:rRNA from 1 species
UGGGGAAUAUUGGACAAUGGGCGAAAGCCUGAUCCAGCAAUGCCGCGUGAGUGAUGAAGGCCUUAGGGUUGUAAAGCUCUUUUACCCGGGAUGAUAAUGACAGUACCGGGAGAAUAAGCUCCGGCUAACUCCGUGCCAGCAGCCGCGGUAAUACGGAGGGAGCUAGCGUUGUUCGGAAUUACUGGGCGUAAAGCGCACGUAGGCGGCGAUUCAAGUCAGAGGUGAAAGCCCGGGGCUCAACCCCGGAACUGCCUUUGAAACUAGAUUGCUAGAAUCCUGGAGAGGCGAGUGGAAUUCCGAGUGUAGAGGUGAAAAUUCGUAGAUAUUCGGAAGAACACCAGUGGCGAAGGCGACUCGCUGGACAGGUAUUGACGCUGAGGUGCGAAAAGCGUGGGGAGCAAAACAGGAUUAGAUACCCUGGUAGUCCACGCCGUAAAACGAUGAUAACUAGCUGUCCGGGCACUUGGUGCUUGGGUGGCGCAGCUAACGCAUUAAGUUAUCCGCCUGGGGAGUACGGUCGCAAGAUUAAAAACUUAAAAGGAAUUGACGGGGGUCAUAGCUGUUUCCU